rnacentral:tRNA from 1 species
GCGGACAUGGCGGAAUGGUAGACGCGCUAGUCUUAGGAACUAGUAGGGUGACCUGUGUGAGUUCGAGUCUCUCUGUCCGCA